rnacentral:rRNA from 1 species
AACCCUUGUCCUUAGUUACCAGCACGUUAUGGUGGGCGACUCUAAGGAGACUGCCGGUGCAAACCGGAGGAAGGUGGGGAUGACGGUCAAGUCAUCAUGGCCCUUACGGCCUGGGCUACACACGUGCUACAAUGGUCGGUACAAAGGGUUGCCAAGCCGCGAGGUGGAGCUAAUCCCAUAAAACCGAUCGUAGUCCGGAUCGCAGUCUGCAACUCGACUGCGUGAAGUCGGAAUCGCUAGUAAUCGUGAAUCAGAAUGUCACGGUGAAUACGUUCCCGGGCCUU